rnacentral:SRP_RNA from 1 species
UGGCAGGCUAGUCUGGGUAGGCCGGCGUUACCUGUAACCCGAAAUCGCCGAUACGCGGGAGACGAAGCCUGAAGAAGAUGUUUGGACCAUUUUCAAACCUGUAAUUUCAACUGAGAAACCCCGUCCUGCUUGGAUGACGUUGAUAUAGGUGCUUACUGGAGAGCAUGUACUUAUAUCUUAACUGCGGGAACCAGCCCAGGCCCGGAAGGGAGCAGGCCUACCGUAGACAAUCGUCGCUUGGAGGGUUGCGGGGUGGAGAAGAAAUUCCAGACCACCUGAUCAUGGAAAAAGCAACGACUUCGGGCGUGCCUGUCA